rnacentral:rRNA from 1 species
GAUGAACGCUAGCGGCAGGCUUAAUACAUGCAAGUCGAGGGGUAGCAAGAUUGUAGCAAUACAAUUGUUGACGACCGGCAAACGGGUGCGGAACACGUACACAACCUUCCUACAAGUGGGGAAUAGCCCAGAGAAAUUUGGAUUAAUACCCCGUAACAUAGCGAUGUGGCAUCACAUUGCUAUUAUAGCUUCGGCGCUUGUUGAUGGGUGUGCGGCUGAUUAGAUAGUUGGCGGGGUAACGGCCCACCAAGUCUACGAUCAGUCGCUGAUGUGAGAGCAUGAUCAGCCACACGGGCACUGAGACACGGCACAGACUCCUGCGGGAGGCAGCAGUGGGGAAUAUUGGACAAUGGGGGGAACCCUGGUCCAGCCAUGCCGCGUGUGUGAAGAAGGCCUUUUGGUUGUAAAGCACUUUAAGCGAGGAGGAGGCUACCGAGAUUAAUACUCUUGGAUAGUGGACGUUACUCGCAGAAUAAGCACCGGCUAACUCUGUGCCAGCAGCCGCGGUAAAAC